rnacentral:misc_RNA from 1 species
AAGUCGUAACAAGGUUUCCGUAGGUGAACCUGCGGAAGGAUCAUUAAUACGUACUUUCACGUAUCACUCAAUCGUGGACUUGUCCCGCUUUUUGUGGAGAGUUGGAGGCGAAAUUUGUGGUCAUAUUUUACCAGCGUGGGGGAGGGACUAAGCUUAACGGCUUUUUUUCUCUUUGACCUGUUCGCCGAGGGUUAAUAAAUCGAACGCCAACUUUUGAUCGGAAAGACAAGUGCAGCUUGUUCUGCAUGCAUCUCCUGGUCAGAGUUGUUCGAUUCGACUCUUUACAAAGCGUUUUUUCUUAAUCCAUGCUGGGAAUCAAUUAUUUUUACCCCCAAGUACUAUUAUCAAGAACUAAUUGUGUUUUUUCUGCUUCAUUGCGGAGAAAACGCCAAAUACCGAAACUUAAGAACAACUCUUAACAACGGAUAUCUUGGUUCUC